rnacentral:rRNA from 1 species
UACGUAGGGCGCAAGCGUUGUCCGGAAUUAUUGGGCGUAAAGAGCUCGUAGGCGGUUUGUCGCGUCUGCUGUGAAAACCUAAGGCUCAACCUUGGGCUUGCAGUGGGUACGGGCAGACUAGAGUGCGGUAGGGGUGACUGGAAUUCCUGGUGUAGCGGUGAAAUGCGCAGAUAUCAGGAGGAACACCAAUGGCGAAGGCAGCUCGCUGGGACGGUACUGACGCUGAGGCGCGAAAGCGUGGGGAGCAAACAGG